rnacentral:lncRNA from 10 species
CUCGGUGCAGAUUGCAAAGCGCCUUCCGUUGCGAGAGCUGCAGAUUUUGCAAGAGCCAGGCUCGCCCACCUUGUAGAAGGAGCGCCUUGAGUCCCCUCUCACCCUCGGUUGCAAAGAGCCGACCGCUUGAUCUGGACACCCCCUCGCCCAGAUUGCAUGAUCUCCCGGGACCCUCUUGAGUUGCACGUUUCUGCACCGAGGACCUCAAAUCCCCGUCGCUCCUAGGAUUUGCAGCGUUCUGGAUACUGGAGGGUUGCAGGCUACACUCGCCCGCCCCUGGGCAGACACUCGUCCAAACCACUGGAGUGUGCUGGUGACUGGCAGGCCAGCCCUUCGCCUCUCCAUGAACCCGUGAGCCUGGGGGCAGGUGCCAGGCGAUGGCGCGGCCUGUGAGCGACAGGACCCCGGCCCCUCUGCUGCUGGGCGGCCCGGCCGGGACACCCCCUGGCGGGGGAGCGCUGCUUGGGUUGCGGAGCCUUCUGCAGGGGACCAGCAAGCCCAAAGAGCCGGCCAGCUAGCUGUCAUUUUUUCUCUCACCUGCCCAACCCUCCACCUACCCUGUCCCUGCCCCCCUAUUCCUGAACUUCCGUCUCUCUUUCUCUGGUUCGCUGUCUUUCUGUGUGUCUAUUCCUUCCCGGCAUUCUGUCCCCAUCUCUGUGAAUCUGUCCACCUGUCUCUGCCACCCCCGUCUCCAUUCUUUCUGGGUCUCUCUCCCACUCUGCGUCUCCGUCCCUUUUUCUCCCGUCUCUCCUCUCCGACCCCCCGUCCCCUCUUUCUCUGGAUCUCCGCCCUGUGCCUCUCGGACUCGGGGUCUCUUCUCCAUCUCUAUCUCCCCCACCUCACCCUCAUCCCAACCCG